GCGUGGACGGGAAUCGUUGGAGGCGGGAAGAUGUCCAAUCAGAUCUGGCAACCCGCCUCUGGAUCUCCAUCACCAGAUUCUCACCGAGGGCAGUCCCAGGAAUGGAGGUAUGGGCAAUUAGGCCCAACAGAGAUGAAGGUGACACAAGCCGUGUCUUCACCUCCCCCCCAACGUUUAGUUUGGACUGGACUGGGAUCGAAUUGGACUCACCAACAUAAUCACUCCCCAGAUACUGAGGACAAUGCCACAAGCUGCCAGCUUCGGGCCACAGCACAGUAAAGAAGCCAUCUCCUAGUGCCCAGGUCCAGCCUCUUCCGGAAGAGAAA